rnacentral:misc_RNA from 1 species
GUGAAUCAUCAAAUUUUUGAACGCAAAUUGCACUUUUUGGUAUUCCGGAAAGUAUGCCUGUUUGAUAUUCAGUGAAAUAAAAUUCUGUAUUGAUACUGCCUUUCUUUGUGACGCGUCUGAAUUGGGUCGUCUUACCUCCGGUUGAUGGACUUAAAAUUUUUGCAUUAUAUUCGAACGUAUUUAUAUCGCUUACGUACGUUGGAGAUAUCGAAUGUUUGUUAUGUUCGGUCAUUUCCAUGAUGCUCUCCUUUAAUUUU